rnacentral:rRNA from 1 species
UACGUAGGGUGCGAGCGUUGUCCGGAAUUACUGGGCGUAAAGCGCGUGUAGGCUGCGAUGUAAGUCAGGUGUGAAAGCCCUCAGCUUAACUGAGGAAGUGCACUUGAUACUGUGUCGCUUGAGUGUCGGAGGGGGUGGCGGAAUUCCCGGUGUAGAGGUGAAAGUUCGUAGAUAUCGGGAGGAACACCUGUGGCGAAGGCGGCCACCUGGACGACAACUGACGCUGAGACGCGAAAGCGUGGGUAGCAAACAGG